rnacentral:tRNA from 1 species
GCCUGGGUGGCUCAGUCAGUUGAGCGUCUGACUUCGGCUCAGGUUAUGAUGUCACGCUUCAUGAGUUCGAGCCCCGUGUCGGGCU